CUGUUUUUCUGGAGAAGCCCCUGCCUAUCAGUACAAUCGAGGCAGAACCUGGGAACCUGACAGAGAGCUGAAACUGGCUGCUGCCCCCUGGGCAGGCAAUGAAUGAAUGACUGAAGCAAUGAAUGAAUGAAGCCCCCUCCCAGCCUGGCUGCUCACUGAGAUCAACUCUUGUGGGUGUAUACUUUAAAUCCACUUGUCUGCCCGUUUUAUCCCCGUUGAAUGGGGGAAAUUAAUCUGGAUGCUGCAGCAGGAUGGAGCCAGCAGAGGGAAUGCGAGAGCACUGAUGCAACUCCAUCGUGAGCCUCAGGAAUGGCCACUGGGUGACUCCUAUUAUUAUGAUUAUUCCUAAGUGUCGGUGAUCCAGGCACAUCAAUGAGAGCAAGGAACAGCCAUCAGUCUGGUAAAUGUUGGGGAUGCUGCUAUUGGAGAGGUGUCCCCAUUUGGGAGCCCAUCCCUGAGCACAUCUGUCCCAUGCUCGGUGCCAUCGUGGUCCCCCCAGCCGCAGUGCCACUGCACUGCACCUCAUGCAGAGCAUCCCUGCCCUCCCUGUGCCACAGGGCACAGCAUCUCUUUGGGGCUGAGAGCCCCCAGUAAAGCUCAGCGACCACCAGUGUCACCAAUUUGGGACCCAGUGGGACCCAUCACCAGGGGGACGGUGGUGGCAGUGCUCCUUUCCUGGCCCAGUUCCUGAUAUCCCAUCUCUGUGGAUGUUUGGGUCUAUUCACCCUGGCAGAUGGUAUCUCAGUGCUGUCCUUUUGGGUGACAAACAGGGCUGGUUAAACACAGUCAUCCCUCAAACAGGUUUAAGUGGGUUUUGCUGUAAAAUAAAUUUAUUUCAACAAAACCUUUUUUGAUAAAUUAAACCAGCACCGCUCUGUGUAUAAUUUCUAUAAACAAUCUUCCCCAGUGUUUACCUAACCUGGGCACACAGAAACUCUCGCACAUUAAAUAUGAGAUGAAAAAGGGCUAUGAAAGCUUUACAUGCAUCUUUUCAUGUCAAUGUGCCAUGGGGAA